AGGACAUAAACGAAUAACUUGGACUCGUGCAACUGCAUGUGAUGGGAUGGUCGACGUGGACAGCUGGUUUUAUCGCCAUAUUAUGCGUCAUGCCGUGCCUCAUUUUUCAUCGAACAAUGAGCUGCAACACACAAAUACCCCCACUCGGACCCCGUCUCUUUCGAGCCAAGGCUUUCUUUGGCCAGGCAAUGCGGUCAUGCUCAAAAGAAAUGUUGGUAGCAGCCAAAAUGAUUCCCUCUAACAAACUAAAGAAGGUCAUGAUCCUCAUAUGCAGCUACUACAAUACGUGCAAAGAUGCUAUAGCAGAAAAGGAGCCCGAAC